rnacentral:rRNA from 1 species
GAUGAACGCUGGCGGCGUGCCUAAUACAUGCAAGUCGAGCGAACGGACGAGAAGCUUGCUUCUCUGAUGUUAGCGGCGGACGGGUGAGUAACACGUGGAUAACCUACCUAUAAGACUGGGAUAACUUUGGGAAACCGGAGCUAAUACCGGAUAAUAUUUUGAACCGCAUGGUUCAAAAGUAAAAGACGGUCUUGCUGUCACUUAUAGAUGGAUCCGCGCUGCAUUAGCUAGUUGGUAAGGUAACGGCUUACCAAGGCAACGAUGCAUAGCCGACCUGAGAGGGUGAUCGGCCACCCUGGAACUGAGACACGGUCCAGACUCCUACGGGAGGCAGCAGUAGGGAAUCUUCCGCAAUGGGCGAAAGCCUGACGGAGCAACGCCGCGUGAGUGAUGAAGGUCUUCGGAUCGUAAAACUCUGUUAUUAGGGAAGAACAUAUGUGUAAGUAACUGUGCACAUCUUGACGGUACCUAAUCAGAAAGCCACGGCUAACUACGUG